UACGAAGGGGGGCUAGCGUUGCUCGGAAUGACUGGGCGUAAAGGGCGCGUAGGCGGUUUGUACAGUCAGAUGUGAAAUUCCCGGGCUCAACCUGGGGGCUGCAUUUGAUACGUGCGGACUUGAGUGGGGAAGAGGGUCGUGGAAUUCCCAGUGUAGAGGUGAAAUUCGUAGAUAUCGGGAGGAACACCGGUGGCGAAGGCGGCGACCUGGGUCGAGACUGACGCUGAGGCGCGAAAGCGUGGGGAGCAAACAGG
rnacentral:rRNA from 1 species